CUCAAAUUUUCUUGUUAGCAUCAAGUAAAGGGAGAAUGAGCCCCGCAGUGACUACAUCAACCAUUUCAACGCCGUAACCUUGGAGGUGAGGAACUAGGAUCAGUCUGUGGUAAUGACCGCAUUGAAGGUCGGACUUCCAUAGAGUGACCUCCUUUUCUCACUCAACCUGAACUAUCCAAAGGAUUUCAUCGAGAUGUUAGAAUGGGUGGAGAGAUAUGCUCAGGUUGAGGAAGCAUGGGAUCGGCAAGGGGAGAACCUCAGUGGUAGAUCAUAGUUGAAUGUCGGAUAGG
rnacentral:lncRNA from 1 species